UGGCUAGCCGCUUCCGGUGAGGACACUAUACUGCCAAUUCGGGGCCGUCGCAGGAGCAGACUUGGCGUGGCCAGAAAUAACUUCUCUUUCCCGUGGCCGCUGGAGCCGUACCUGAAGUCGGCUAUGGGCGCACUGAGCCCAGGACGGGGAUGCGAGCAAGGCUAAGGGACCCUGUAGGGGCGUGGCUUCCGCCUCACAGAGAGCUCCGCACCGAUUACAUCACUUCCGUAAACAAAGGGUGCUGCGGAGGCGCGGGUCCCAAGCUGGUGACCGGGACUCUUGCUGCAGCUGUAGCAGAGGCUUUGGACGCUCUCUGACCUUUUCCAGUUGAGGAAAAGGACCAUAACCUCUUCCUACGUUCCCUACUUAGGUCUUAUGAAGCUGCCGUUGAUGCCACAAAGAAUUUGAAGCAAUGGAAGAGCGGAAAGCGAAGAGGAAGAGUCCCAAGUCUUUCAGUGCCCACUCUACUCAGGUUGUCAAUGCCAAAAAAAAUGCCAUCCCAGCUAGUAAGAGCACAGGCUUUUCAAAUCCCACGGCACAGUCAACAUCCCAGCGGCCAAAAUUAAAGAGAGUGGUGAAAGAAAAGAACAAGCCUCCAGGAGAAGGGAAGGGGGCUCAGUCCACCCCCAUCCAGCACUCCUUCCUCACAGAUGUCUCCGAUGUCCAGGAGAUGGAGCGCGGGCUCCUCAGUCUGCUAAAUGAUUUCCACUCGGGGAAGCUGCAGGCGUUUGGAAAUGAAUGUUCCAUAGAACAGAUGGAACAUGUCCGGGGAAUGCAGGAGAAAUUAGCUCGCUUGAAUUUGGAGCUCUACGGGGAGUUAGAGGAACUUCCUGAGGAUAAGCGGAAAGCAGCCAGUGACGCCAACUUGGACAGGCUUCUGUCGGACGGAGCUGAAAAGCUGACUCAGCGACUAAAAGUACUCGCUGCCCUUGCAGAGGACCCAGAUUCUGUUCCCAGCACCCACAUGGCGGCCCUCAACCGUCUCUAGCUCCAGUUCCGGGGAUCUGAAGCCCUCUUCUGGCCUCUGAGGGCACCAGGCACACAAGUGGUACACAUGCUAACAUGUGGGCAAAACACUCAUACCCGUUAAAUAAAAAUAAAUAAAUCUUUAAAACCAUCUUUAGACAGCUAGGAAGAUGGCUCAGUCAGCAAAGAUCUUGCUACAACAGCGUGAGGGCCUGAGUUCUUGCCGAAUUUGUGAGCUCCAGGUUUCGUGAGAUACUCUCUGAUAAAAGUAAGGGAGGAAGACACGAAACAUUGACCUUUGGCUUCCGUAUGUGCAGGUUGCACACACAGGAACUUAGGAAUCCACAAAACCUUUUUAGAAGAAAGGAAAAUAAGUAAAAAUUGACUUCAAUGUAGCUUAUCUUCAUUUUCAGGAGUGGCAAGAGUUUGUUUCUGCUGCUUUUCUUGUCUUUUUUUUGAAUAAGUUUGAGGUAAUUGUCCAAACAGGGUUUCUGUGUAGCUCUGGCUGUCUUGGAACUCAUUCUGUAGACCAGCUGGCCUCAAACUCAGAGAGCCAUUUCCUCUGCCUCCCAAGUGCUGGGAUUAAAGGCAUACUUUUAAAAGGUUUAAACCUAGAAGAUUAAUGGUGCCUGUUUGUAAUCCCAGCACUUGGGAAGUGGAUGCAGGAGGAACAGGAGUUCAAGUUCAAAGUCAGCCUCUCAAAAACAAAAAUCCCUUCAAGCCUGUAUUUUAAAGGCCAAAUCUGCCAUAUAAUAUUCAGUGUCACAAGUAUUUCAGUUCAUAUAUGCUUUAUUUCUAUUAAAUAUAAGCUUAGUUUGUGUACUUUUAGUGCACUUAGGAAAAUACUGCAUUUUGGCAAAAGGAAUACUAACUUUGAAACCAGGAGGCCUAGUGCAGGGCUUGCACCAGUGUUGCUCUUGGUAACGGUGAAGUCUCAUUAGCCUGUCUGCCUACCUUCCUUUGUUUUUAAACUGUUUUGAGGUACUGGAGAUGAAGCCUAGGGUGUCAUGGAUGCAAGUCAAGCACUCCACUACUAAGCUACAGCCUCAGACCGCAUUUCUGUACUUUAUAUUUCUCCUUCUAAAAUUAAAGAUACUGUAGUCGGAUGCCUAUAUCUUUCUAGAACUCAUACUUUUAAGUCCUCACCCUGGUGCAACAAGAGACAGGGUUUUGGAAGGUCGUUAGGUCGGGAGUGAGAUUAGUAUCUGAGGAAAAGAGGCAGAAAAGAGAUAAUCCACUGCUUCCGUUUCGUGAGGACGUUGUACAAGGCCACACUCGGGCUUUGUUGGCUUCUUAAUUGCGCAUGGCUGGUUUCUAGAGACAUCAGAAAUGAGACUCUUUUUUUUCUACAAAAUGCCAAUUUAAUGAUUUUUUUAAUAAAAGCCCAAACAGACCAAGACAAGGGGUGAUAAAUUCUACUUUAUAGUAAGAAUCGAAUUUUUUUUUUUUUUUUCCGAGACAGGGUUUCUCCAUAGCUUUUUGGUUCCUGUCCUGGAACUAGCUCUUGUAGACCAGGCUAGCCUCGAACUCACAGAGAUCCACCUGCCUCUGCCUCCCGAGUGCUGGGAUUAAAGGCGUGUGCCACCACCGCCCGGCAAGAAUUGAAAUAUUUGUAAGUAUUUUUAUAAAUAAUAAAGUUUUCAAAGAUUAUGACUACAGAAAUGGCAAUUAAAAAAAAAAAAAGCUAGGCAAGGGGUCAGCAAGAUGUCUGAGGAGGGAAAAGUGCUCGCAGUGUGAGCCUGGUGAAAUCCGUACCUGAGUUCACUUCCUAGAACUCAUGUAAGAGCCAAGGGUGAGAACUAGCUCCAUUCACAUGUGUGCUGCCUUCACAUGCAAACAACACAGCACACACAAUAAUGAUACGAUUUCUGUUAAGAGAACAAGCGGUUAUACAUCUAUGAUCCCAGCAUUCUGGAGUUCAAGACCAGCCUGACCAUAUAUGGAGAUUUUUUUUUCUUUCUGUUUUUUGUUUGUUUGUUUUUGAUUUUUCAAAACAGUUUUCUCUGUGUAGCCCUGGCUGUCCUGGAACUUGCUCUAUAAACUAGGCUGGCCUCAAAUUCAGAGAUCCACCUGCCUAUGCUGAGAUUAAAGAUGUAUGCUACCACUGCCUAGUGAGACUCUUUCAAAAAGAAAUACAGGCACAGGGCUGGAGAGAUGGCUCAGCCGUUAAAGGCUAGGCUCACAACCAAAAAUAUAAGAAAUACAAGCACAGUAGCAAUUAUUGCCAUUAUACGUGAUUCUAGGAAUGCUUCCAACGCUCUAGUCUUUAGCAUUUGCUUCUGUUCUCGCUUCGGGGUUUUUAAUCUAAACUGCAGCUACUUGAUAGUUAUUUUGUGCAAAGGAAUUCCCAGCCUAGAAAGCUUUUUGAGAACUUUUUAAAUAGUUUCUUCUUUCAGUUAAAGGAACACCUACAUGAAGCUAUUUUAAAACAUGGUUAACAAUGACCUACUAAUAUUUAUCUUGUAAAAAUUAAUACUCAAUUUGUUUCUUUGUGUUGCAGUUAGAAGAAUUGAAUUCUUCUAUACAGAAGCUGCAUUUGGCAGACGCACAGGAUGUCCCCAAUCCGUCCACCGGCUAAGGCAGUGUGCAGCCUGUUCAGGGGGUUUGCAGAGAAGCAGCCAUCGCUGCUUUUGCCGAGUCCAGUAGCAGAAUCAUCCCCACAACACAAUUCAAGUGAUGGAGUGCAAGUGCAACAAUUGUGCUCACACUGCUUCUAGUCCAUGUGCUCGCUGUCAUUCACCGUGGGGGGCGUGGCCUGGCUGCAGGGCCCUUGAGGAGUGGGACGCUGGGCUGUGCUGCUGUGCUUCUGUUGCCUUAAGGGUUAUACUUGAAAUGCAUUGUGCUAAACAUUGGGUUGGGCUGAAGGAAUUGUCCUUCCUGCGGUCACCACACUGACCCAGCUCUGGUCACACAGUGGUGGUGCACAGGCCUCCUGCGGCAGCCCAGCUUCAGUUUACGUCAGACAAUCAGUACACACGCAGGUGUGUUCCCCAAUGGCCAGUGACAAAUGUUUAAUAAGUAUUUGUGAGAUUCGCUAUUUUUAAUAAAGUGAUUGUUUUAAAUGAUUGUCUCUGUUGUCUGUUUGGAAGACCCGGUGGUCUUCCUUCAGUCUGGAAACAAGGGUUCAGUCCUCCAAAGGAAACUGUGUAUAUAAUAUGAGGAUUUUGUGCCUUUGCAUGUUUAAAUACUGCCUAAUGAAAGUGCAUGGCUGUAAAGCUUGAGCCUGAUUUGGAUGCCCAUUGUUCCCCUUAGCUUUCUGACGUGUAUGUACGCGGGCUGAGUUCCCCUUAGCUUUCUAGCGUGUAUGUACGCGGGCUGAGCUCAACUUUGAUUUUCAAUGUAGCAUGUGAGGAUUACCAGCUGGUGGUGGCUGUGUGAGAUAAUAGAAACGCAUGAAAGACGCCUCGCAUGAGGCUAAUGCCAGGAAAGCUCUGGAGACAGCCUCACUCCCCUCCCUUUGUUUCAGUGAUGAGGGUCACGCCCCGAUCUCGCGAGCACUAGACAAACAGUGUCAUUGAACCACACCAGCCACCCUUUUUUCUAAAAUUCUUGACAAUUUUAUGAAUAUCCAUUGUCUUGAUUAUGCCCCCCAACACCCUCCUUCCAGUCCUCCUGAACCCCGUAGUACUUCUCCCACAUUCAUGUCCAUUUUAAAUUUUAUUUUUAUGACUCACGGGGUCCAGUUAGUGAACCAUAUGGGCAUGGCCCUGGGCCAUCCAUGGGCAGCCUACAAGCAGACGCGCCCCUAAAGAAAAGUGGCUCUGCCCCGACAGCCAUCAGCUGUGAAUAGCUCUUCAGCUAGGGGUGACUGGUGCCUCAUGAGCUCCUCUCUCCUCCGUGGGGAAUACUGACUGGCUUGAGCUCGUUAGUGCAAUCACCAUGUCAAGUCUGGAAGAUGGCCUUUCACAGCAUCCCUCCCAUUCUCUGACUCUUACAUUCUUUCUGCUGCUUUUUUCCGCGAUGUUCCCUGAGCCUUGGGGGACCUGAUAGAAAUGGCUUGUUUAGGGCUGAGUACUCAAAAAGUCACUUACUCUGAACACAUUAAUCAGUUGCUACCCACUGCUGAACAAAGCUCUGACUAAGGUUAAGAGCAGCACUAAUCUAAGGAUAGAAAAAUUUACAAAUAUUUAGAAAGCAAUUUGACAAGAACAGUCAGUACUCCUGCAGGACCCAUGACUUCUCCAGCCAUGGGCUUUUGACCAGGUUUACAUUACAACACAUGAAUUUCCUCAUUUGUAGCAGGGCUCAAAUCCAAUCCAAAAGCUGUUGGUUACUCCACAAGAGUCAUGCCAUUAUUACACCAGUAGGCAGAUCUUGCUUAGCAGGGUAGUAGUAUAUAGUGUGUAGUCUGUUGAUAGCUUUUCUCUCCCACAGACUAUAUAACACUGCCCAGCACUGUAACAGCGAGCUUACAGGGAUGAAGUUUGCACAUCCAUUUCAAUCUGAAUUAUCUAUUUGUCAAUUGGGCCUUAACUUUUAGCUAUGGUUGACAACAAAGAACAAUGAUGAUAAUGUGUUAUUUGGGGUACCUCUGGGUUCUUUCUGACCUGUAAUUCAUAGGGAAGUAUCUCAUACCUGACAAAUUUUUAUUUAAAAACCCUGUCUUCUGGGGGAACAUUGUCUGUUAAAGAUACCUCUGUUCAAACUCCUUUUAAAAUUAUUUUAAGUUAGUUUGCAAAGAAGUUGGCCUUUUCUUACAUCCUUAAUUGUGUUUGACUCGCCCUCACACCCCAACCCUCACUCCUGCUGAAACACUCAAAGCUACCCAUUCCUUUGUCACAUUUGUUUUGUGCAUUCGCCCUGUCUAAGGCCUCCCGGACUCUGUGCACUAUUCUAGCUUCCUGACCUCAACUAAAACUCACAGGUCUAAAAGAUGUGCAUCUAGGAUCUACACAGGAGAGAGAGAGAGAGGCAUCUGUCUUUCCGGACCUGGGUUACCUCUCUGUCAUAUUCUUCAGUCCCAUCCACUUUCCAGAAAAAUGUCAGGAUUUCCUUUUCCUAACAUCUACACAAACUGCCAUUGUCUAGACUGAUUUCGAGCAGCAGGUGUCCCUGUGAUAGGCUGUAGAGUCCUCUGAGUGUAUGCCCAGAAGUAGUACAGUUGGGUCAUAUGGUAGUUCUAAUUUUAGCUUGUGGAGACACCUCCACACAGAUUUCCUUAGUGGCUGCACCAGUUUACACUCCCGCCACAGUGGUAAACAUUCCCCUUUCCCCUUGUUCUCCUCAGCACUGCUAGUCUGAUGACAGCCAUUCUGACUAAAAUAAGAUAUAAUCUCAAUUUUAAUUUACAUAUCCUUGAUAUAUAAAGGCCACCCUUUUAACAUAAGAUGUUAGAAUUGUUGCAUUUUUUUAAAAAUCGAAUUACAGAUGAUCUCCAAAAACCUAGUAUAGAGCAAACUUUUUUUUUUAAAACUUAGUUGUGUGUUUCCUUUCAGCCUUCAUACUUGGGUUUUGUUCAACCCCCCAUUCAUAGGAUUGUUAGCUUUCCCAUACUUAAUUAUUGUGCAAUUGGCCACGUUAAGUACAAAGAAGCAGUGGCAAGAGGGAGGUGUCACAAUAGACAAAGGCAUUUUGAUCGACGCAGAAACAUGUUGGUGUUCAUAUGUCUAACUCCUGCAUAACUAAUUCUGGCAAAUAAAGCAAACUCUAAAGUUUCCUAAGGAUUUGCUAAAGAUGAACACGAGAAAGGCUAAGAAACGCCACCCUUACCAGCACAGGUCUUCAUCAUUGCUGGCUGUGUAAAGCUAAGCAAACUUCGCUUCAGUGUCUAAGCCUUUCUUGACAGACAGCAGCUUUGUGUGUCUGUCACCUCCCAGCGACUUUCAAGACCCUGGAGGUCAGACAGUCACCGCCUCCCACCGCCAGCGAAAGAAAUCACCCAGAACUUGAGUCCAGAAAACCUAAGGAAGGAGACUUAAGAGCCCUCCUGCAGCAAAGACCCAGACUGACCACUGGAGCGCGGCACUGAGCAGGAUCUACUUAGGGUCGGACGUGUGGGGCGUGGUGGCGGGUCUGUGUUGUCAUCGCUAUGGAGAUGGGGCUGUCCCUGCCCCGUCUGUGAUCUGGAGAACUGACUCUCCAUUGCACUAUACUGUGCCAAGAGGAGUCUGCGGCAGCCCUGCUCAGCCCCUUGGCCACUUCCCGGAGGUAAAGCCCCUGCCUUCUUGGCAAUGUCUUUUCCUUGGGACCCCAUGGCCUUGGAGGACCCCUGCAGGGUCAGAUUUGAGUUGGGCAGUGGCAACUAAAGCCUUCCCUCCUCCUCCAAACUCUCCUGGGGUAGAAAGACGUGCUCCCGCGCUUUGGAAAACACUGAUUUUUCACAAGACUCUAAAUUAGCUCAGGCUAGCUCUCCCCUCUGACUCAUCUUGCUCUGUUUGCUACUUUGGAGUCCAGAGAUGUGGGAAAGGGCUGUAGGGCUAAUAAAGAAGAGGCUAAGACUCUACAGUGACUGGUUCGUGGCUCUAAUAUUUCAUAUGCUAUGAUUUCAUGAAUAAGGUGAAUGAUUAUGCCAUUGCUAAAUGUUUAUCUUUUGAGAAGUACUGGUGGUGUACGUAUGAAUAAACAUUGCUCUGAAUAUCAGAA